AUGUGUGUGUCUGUGUGUGUAUCUGUAUGUCUGUGUGUGUAUAUAGCUGUGUAUGUCUCUGUGUCUGUGUGUAUAUCUAUGUAUCUGGGUGUAUCCCUGUGUAUGUGUCUGUAUGUAUCUGUGCAUGUGUCUGUGUGUCUGUGUAUCUUGUGUGUGUGUAUGUGUAUCUGCAUAUCUCUGUGUGUGUCUGUGUAUCUAUAUCUCUGUGUGUAUCUGUGUCUCUGUGUGUCUGUAUUAUCUGUGUAUCUGUGUGUGUGUGUCUCUGAGUGUAUCUCUGUGUGUGUUUCUGUGUCUAUGUAUCUCUCUGUCUGUGUAUCUGUGUGUGUGUAUCUCUGUGUGUUUCUGUGUCUAUCUCUUUGUGUCUGUGUAUCUGUGUAUCUCUUUGUGUGUCUGUGUGUAUCUCUGUGUGUAUCUGUGUCUGUGUAUCUCUGUAUGUAUCUCUGUGUCUGUAUCUGUGUGUCUGUAUCGUGUGUGUAUGUGUAUCUGCAUAUCUCUGUGUGUGUCUCUGUGUAUCUCUGUGUAUCUAUAUCUCUGUGUGUAUCUGUGUCUCUGUCUCUGUAUUAUCUGUGUAUCUGUGUGUGUGUGUCUCUGAGUGUAUCUCUGUGUCUGUGUAUCUGUGUGUAUCUCUGUGUAUCUGUGUGUGUAUCUGUAUGUGUGUAUCUCUGUGUUUCUGUGUCUGUGUAUCUCUCUGUGUCUGUGUAUCUGUGUGUGUGUGUCCGUGUAUCUGUGUAUCUCUUUGUGUAUCUGUGUGCAUCUCUGUGUGUAUCUGUGUCUGUGUAUCUCUGUAUGUAUCUCUGUGUCUGUGUGUGUAUCUGUGUGUCUAUCUUGUGUGUGUGUAUCUGCAUAUCUGUGUGUGUCUCUGUGUAUCUCUGUGUCUGUGUAUCUAUAUCUCUGUAUCUGUGUAUCUGUGUCUGUGUUUCUGUGUAUUAUCUGUGUCUCUGUGUGUGUGUGUGUCUGAGUGUAUCUCUCUGUGUCUGUGUAUCUGUGUGUAUCUCUGUGUGUAUCUGUGUGUGUCUGUGUAUCUUGUGUGUGUGUGUUGCAGGAGGGACUGUCAGCAGGUGUGACCGUGGUGCCCUGGCCUCCGAGCGGCCGCUGGGAGAGCUCUGA
rnacentral:lncRNA from 1 species